rnacentral:rRNA from 1 species
CUUGGUGUGUAUGCGGCUGGAACACACCCGUUCCCAUUCCGAACACGACGGUAAAGACAGCUAGCAGUGACAAUAUUUAGAUAGAAAUGUCUUGAGAAGAUAACCAUGCGCCAGGG